UACGUAGGGGGCUAGCGUUGUCCGGAUUUAUUGGGCGUAAAGCGCGUGUAGGCGGCUCUUCAAGUCAGACGUGAAAGCCCCGGGCUUAACUCGGGAACUGCGUUUGAUACUGUCGAGCUAGAGUGUGGAAGGGGCGAUUGGAAUUCCGUGUGUAGCGGUGAAAUGCGUAGAUAUACGGAGGAACACCAGAGGCGAAGGCGGAUCGCUGGGCCAACACUGACGCUGAGACGCGAAAGCUAGGGGAGCAAACGGG
rnacentral:rRNA from 1 species